GUUUCAAUGCAUUUGUACCCGUUUGUUCCGAAAAUAAAUGUAAUUUCUCAUAGAUAUCUUACAUAUUAACCGACUUGGUUUCGAAAACAUUGUGUGAUCAAUCUCUGACUUUUUUAAGCUUUUUUUUGUGUAGCGCUCGAUUUCGAAAAUAUUGUGCAAUCGUUCACAGAUAUUCCGCAUAUUUGUAACGCAUUGUUUCGAAAACGUUUUGUAUUCACUCCAAAUUUAUACUACACAUUAGUUAAAAUUUAUCCAGCUGGAUACAUUUAUGAGGCUCACCUGCUAGAAAAAUAAUGCAGUUCAAUAGAGAUCGGUGGCGAAACAAGGAAGUUCUUUCAAAAAGAGAUCCGACAUACAUAGCGACAACAACGUAGAAUUACUGAAUAGUUUUCUCUCUGCGUUAUUCGAUACAUGCCCACCGAAAACAAUGCCGAAAAUUCGCCAAAAUAUCUUUUACGUGUUAGAAUAUCUUCCCUUUUACAGUCGCCCGAGUCGAUCAUACUCUGCCGAACUAUAAGAUUAAAAAAAAAAUCGCGUAAUAAAAAUUAUUAUAUAUGCGAAAAACCUCAGAUGUUUACGACAUGUGCGCGAUAUUCGAUCGACCAGAUGUGUCCAGUAAAAAUAUCCCGUUUCCUAGGAAAACUUGCACCGUUGUUGGGAAGAACAUUAAAGAAACUUAUACCCGUUAUCGUCAUUUUCUCCAAUUGCCAGUUGUCGUAACCAAACCGGCCAAACUAUUCUCGUUUUGUUUAAAUUUAAUUACCGUUUGCCGUGUUGUACGUCACAGGAUAAUUAUUACGCAUUAUUAUUAUUAUGAUUGAAUAUAAUAGAAAGUAAAAUAUAGCGAAAAGAUCAAUAUCUGUCCGUCUGGUAGGAGAACAAUGCGAGAUAAAGCUCGUACGGCAUGUAACGAUUAACCAAUGCCAAUCAACUCGUACAAGAAUUCACUAAUUGCCCAUUACUGCCGCUGUAAUUGCGCUCCGUUCGUCUAUUAUAAUAAGCAAAAAUGACUAUAAACUAAUUGAUCCUUUGUGUACGGAGAACUUACAACUUUAAACCAACUUAAAAAUACCUUCAAGCGGAUGUAAGUUCCGAUUAAAACCACUUUUUUAACUGGAAAAUCGAUUUUUUUUUUUUUUUUUUAACUAGUAAAGUUUAAUGGAAAAUUAUCGGAAUGUAAUUAUUUUAUUUCGGAUUUUGGAAC
rnacentral:lncRNA from 1 species